AGAAAAUGGGGUUUGGAGAUUAUCCAGUUGAAUAUAAUCCUAAAGUUCAUGGACCGUAUGACCCAGCUCGUUAUUAUGGAAAAGGUAUGUGUCUGUA
rfam:Rhodnius prolixus Rhodnius_prolixus-3.0.3-0.274, whole genome shotgun sequence.